GAUGAACGCUAGCUACAGGCUUAACACAUGCAAGUCGAGGGGAAACGACAUCGAAAGCUUGCUUUUGAUGGGCGUCGACCGGCGCACGGGUGAGUAACGCGUAUCCAACCUGCCCACCACUUGGGGAUAACCUUGCGAAAGUAAGACUAAUACCCGAUGAUAUCCCUAGAAGACAUCUGAAAGGGAUUAAAGAUUUAUCGGUGAUGGAUGGGGAUGCGUCUGAUUAGCUUGUUGGCGGGGUAACGGCCCACCAAGGCAACGAUCAGUAGGGGUUCUGAGAGGAAGGUCCCCCACAUUGGAACUGAGACACGGUCCAAACUCCUACGGGAGGCAGCAGUGAGGAAUAUUGGUCAAUGGGCGAGAGCCUGAACCAGCCAAGUAGCGUGCAGGACGACGGCCCUAUGGGUUGUAAACUGCUUUUAUAAGGGAAUAAAGUGAGUCUCGUGAGGCUUUUGCAUGUACCUUAUGAAUAAGGACCGGCUAAUUCCGUG
rnacentral:rRNA from 1 species